rnacentral:lncRNA from 1 species
GUCGCGCCCCUGCCCCAUCGUAGUAUAUGAGCUCGCCUACACAAGGACCCGCGCUAAAAGCCAGAGCUCCCAGUCCCCGAGGCUUGAAGACGGGGACUCCCUUCUCCACCAACUCUGUCCUCGGGGGGUGGGGCCCCAGCCGAGAUCACAGCGCGACAGGAGUGGGGGUGGCCGCUGGAGACAGGUGAAGAAACAAGAAAACUAAGAAAUCCGAGCGGUUGGAGGGGGAGUCUGUGUGGAUGGGAUGGGGACGCCGGGGGAGGGGCUGGGCCGCUGCUCCCAUGCCCUGAUCCGGGGAGUCCCAGAGAGCCUGGCGUCGGGGGAAGGUGCGGGGGCUGGCCUUCCCGCUCUGGAUCUGGCCAAAGCUCAAAGGGAGCACGGGGUGCUGGGAGCACACGCCCCCACAGCUGAGGGCCUGGCCUUGGGGUACUGCUGGCCAGGGGUAGGAUAGUAUAGGAAGUAGAAGGGGAAGGAGGGUUAGAUAGAGAAUGCUGAAUAGGCAGUAGUUGGGAGAGAGCCUCAAUAUUGGGGGAGGGGAGAGUGUAGGGAAAAGGAUCCACUGGGUGAAUCCUCCCUCUCAGAACCAAUAAAAUAGAAUUGAC